rnacentral:rRNA from 1 species
UUGAGAUACGGCCCAGACUCCUACGGGAGGCAGCAGUGGGGAAUCUUGCGCAAUGGCCUAACGGCUGACGCAGCGACGCCGCGUGUGGGAUGAAGCUCUUCGGAGUGUAAACCACUGUUGCCCGGGACGAAUAGCUCGAUUAAUCGAGCCUGACGGUACCGGGUGAGGAAGCACCGGCUAACUCCGUGCCAGCAGCCGCGGUAAUACGGGGGGUGCGAGCGUUGUCCGGAAUCACUGGGCGUAAAGGGCGCGUAGGUGGUUUGAUAAGGGUGUGGUGAAAGUCCGGGGCUCAACCCCGGAUCUGCCGUGCCGACUGUCAAACUCGAGGGCUGUAGAGGCAGACGGAAUUCCGGGUGUAGCGGUGGAAUGCGUAGAGAUCCGGAGGAAGACCGGUGGCGAAGGCGGUCUGCUGGGCAGUUUCUGACACUGAUGCGCGACAGCGUGGGGAGCAAACAGGAUUAGAUACCCUGGUAGUCCACGCCGUAAACGAUGGGUACUAGGUGCCUGGGGGAGCGACCCUCUGGGUGCCGGCGCUAACGCAGGAAGUACCCCGCCUGGGGAGUACGACCGCAAGGUUGAAACUCCAAGGAAUUGACG